rnacentral:pre_miRNA from 1 species
GUUGAGGGGAAUGCUGUCUGGUUCAAAAGCACCCAUAUUUUGAUCAGAUUCAGAAGCCUCAAGCACUGAUAUAACGUGAUCAAUCGAAAGAUAUAGUCUAUUGAUUAUUCUGGGUUUAUAUUUAUGCUUUUGGACCAGGCUUCAUUCCCCUUAAU